AAUGAAUUGGAAAGCAUCCAAAGAUGCCAAGAAAAUCAGCAAAAAAAGGAGCAGUAAAAAUGAGGAUGCAAGCAAUUCACUCAUAAGUAACUUCAAAACAAUGCAUCAUAUAGUUCCUGUUUAUUACCCACAGGAAUCUCUCUUUGAAGCAAUCUGAAAGCUUGCUGACAAAAAAUGAUGUGCAUGAACCUCACCUCUUCCAUAACCCCGAAGAAAAAGAAAAUUUGUUUGUGGAAAAUGAGUAAAUUCAGCCUCAAGUGACAGGAAACGUUUGAUUUUGUUUUUAACCUUAUAGGACUAGGCAACAAUAUCUUUUGUGGGUUUGUAGCUUUAUGGUAUCUCAUAAUAUAAGAAAAACUUUUAAGUUA
rnacentral:sRNA from 1 species